rnacentral:rRNA from 1 species
UGAUGAGGAGAUGCUACGGCAUUGAAGCAGUCUAUGUCAGACUUCCAAGAAAAGCUCGCACUGUCGUAAAUAAAUAAUGCCUGUACCAUAACCGACACAGGUGGGUAGGUAGAGUAUACUAAGGGGCGCGAGCUAACUCUCUCUAAGGAACUCGGCAAAAUGACUCCGUAACUUCGGGGGAAGGAGUGCCUUAUAUUUAAGGUUGCAAUAACAAGAUCCAAGCAACUGUUUACCAAAAACACAGGUCUCCGCUAAGUCGUAAGACGAUGUAUGGGGGCUGACGCCUGCCCAGUGCCAGAAGGUUAAAGAAGUUGGUUAGCAUUCGCGAAGCUGGUAACUGAAGCCCUGGAGAACGGCGGCCGUAAAUAUAACGGUCCUAAGGUAGCGAAAUUCCUUGUCGGGUAAGUUCCGACCUGCACGAAAGGCGUAAUGAUUUGGAUACUGUCUCGGAGAGGGGCUCGGUGAAAUAGACUUGUCUGUGAAGAUGCGGACUACCUGCACCUGGACAGAAAGACCCUAUGAAGCUUUACUGUAACUUGAAAUUGAAAUUGGACUUUAUUUGCGCAGUAUAGGUGGGGGGCGUUGAUUUUAUUCUUGCGGGAAUUUAGGAGCCAUCAGUGAGAUACCACUCUGGUAAUGUUAGAUUUCUAACUUUGUAUCAUGAUCUGGUCAAAGAACAGUUUCAGGCGGGCAGUUUGACUGGGGCGGUCGCCUCCCAAAUGGUAACGGAGGCGUACAAAGGUUUCCUCUGAACGUGUAGAAAUCGUAUCUAGAGUGUAAAGGCAUAAGGAAGCUUGACUGUGAGACCUACAAGUCGAGCAGGGACGAAAGUCGGUCUUAGUGAUCUGACGGUGCUGAGUGGAAAGGCCGUCACUCAACGGAUAAAAGUUACUCUAGGAUAACAGGCUGAUCUCCCCCAAGAGUUCACAUCGACGGGGAGGUUUGGCACCUCGAUGUCGGCUCAUCGCAUCCUGGGGCGGUAGUACGUCCCAAGGGUUGGGCUGUUCGCCCAUGAAAGCGGUACGCGAGCUGGGUUCAGAACGUCGUGAGACAGUUCGGUCCAUAUCCGGUGUAGGCGUUAGAAUAUUGAGAGGAGCCUUCUUUAGUACGAGAGGACCGAGAAGGACAUACCUCUGGUGUACCAGUUAUCGUGCCAACGGUAAACGCUGGGUAGCUAUGUAUGGAGAGGAUAACCGCUGAAAGCAUCUAAGUGGGAAGCCCACCUCAAGAUAAGUAUUCUCAUCACGGAAGUGAGUAAGGUCACGGAAAGACUAACCGUUUGAUAGGCAUUAAGUGGAAAUGUAGUAAUAUACGAGCUGAGAUGUCCUAACAGACC